UACGUAGGGGGCAAGCGUUGUCCGGAUUCAUUGGGCGUAAAGAGCGUGUAGGCGGCCUGAAAGGUCGGCUGUGAAAACUCGAGGCUCAACCUCGAGACGUCGGUUGAAACCAUCUGGCUAGAGUCCGGAAGAGGAGUGUGGAAUUCCUGGUGUAGCGGUGGAAUGCGCAGAUAUCAGGUGGAACACCGAUGGCGAAGGCAGAUCUCUGGGCCGUAACUGACGCUGAGGAGCGAAAGCGUGGGGAGCGAACAGG
rnacentral:rRNA from 1 species